AAGUAAACCCAACCACAAAAAAAUGGUAUUGUUAAUUCUAAAAUGCAAGUAUAAGCAGAGAUUGUUCAACAGGUAGAGAGAGGGGCACAGUAAAUAUUUGCAUUUUUACACUGUCUUGCUUCAAGGAAUGAAAGCCAAGUAAAGAGUGUUGGAAACAACAGCAAGCUUGCAUAGGCGACAAAAUUCUUCAAACCUGAAUUCCAAGUCCUGUCAGCAUCCCCUCAGCAGAUGAGCUUUGAAGAAGACUGGGAUCCGAACACUGGCAGCGCCACAUGAAUGGGGUUCAGGACAUUGACAUUGCUUGUUUUUUUUAGCAUUCUGUGAAUUUCCUAUUACAUCAGUUUCAUGAUUCAGCAUUUUCCUUUUCAUUUAUUUACAGUAAUAUAUAGCGAGAUAACCUAAGCUCGAUCGCAGGAUCCUGGAACAUAAGGUAGGCUGGGCAGCAAGGGUGUAGCCUUCUGUAAAUUUACUAUUUGCUUAGAACUCAGGGACAAAUGGGAGAAAGCAAGUCAUCCAAAGAACUGGGAAAUAUCUCCUCACCUUACUCUGAGGGUCUUCAUUUCUGUGGUAUUUAAAAUAGGUUACUGCCAUCUAGUUUGUAAGUCUAACAGAAGGCAAGAAGUGUGUAAACUGCGAACUGAUGUGCAUAAGCCAAACGCAGCUCUGAAAUGACAACGUUCAAGACGCAACUAAAGUCACCACUCUGGCGUGAUUCAGAAGUGGGCGAACUCCACCGUCUCCUGUAAACAUGUAACAAGGUGAAGCCUGGAGAUAAACUUAGAACUCCUACAAAGAUUAUUCUCCUUUCUGGAAAAAACUAUAAAUUUUCAACAAGGACAUAAAUGUGAGUGUCUUGUGGAAAAGAAUAAAGCAAACUCCUGAAAAUGUGGAGCAGGUAAAUCUGCAGGAGAGAAAAUCCUCCAGGUAAGGACACGGGCCAAUUGAACCAACGCCAUGAAAACUGCUAGCCUCGACGGCUCUGUUGUAAAAUGGAACGGCCUUCUCCGAGAGCUCCCACAAUUGUGAUAGGAAAGACUUCCAUGGCUCCCACAUGAAAGUGCUUUCUGCUUUUGGAGGUUCUAGAAACCUUAGGAGGUAGAGUCUAGCUGAAGGAUGAAGAUCACUGGGGGUGGGGGUGGGGUAUGUUAUCCUUGGCCCUUUCUCUCCUUUCUCUGCUCCCUGGCUACCAAGAGUCUAACCCUUAUGCUCUGCCACACAUUACCACUGCCAUGUUCUUCCAAAGUGACGGGGUCCAAGGGCAACAGAUUGAACUAUCUGAAGCAGUGAGCCUCAGGCAAUCUUUUCCCUCUUUAAGACAUUCUGUCAGGAAUUUUUGUCACAGUUACACAAACUCAGCUAAAAUGUCCAAAAUGUAUCCACCACUCUACAAUCCACUUGUAUACGGUGUCUUAUAAGUAUAAAAUCCUUAUUCAUGUUCAUAUCCACCAAGGAAGAGUCUCGAGAAUGUUCAUGGCGAUAGCAUAUGACUAAUCCACUGUAUCUACCCAAACGUCCAUCAACGAGGAUGUUGUAUGAAUGAACUCAUACGAUGGAAUGCUGUAGAGGAUUGGAAAUCAGUGUCCUGCAACUACAUACAGCAUCGCAGGAGGCGCAGCCCUGAGGACACCCAAGGCAAACAUCCCCAGCGCUUGGCACACCCAGAACCUCCACCCACCCUCCAUUCCUCGGGAAAACGCGGAUGAUUCCUUUCUCCUCAUCUCUCUCCGGGAUUCUGGGGGAAUGCAUCUAUGAGAAUCCUCUCGGCCUUCAGGGUUGACUCAGUCGUGACGAUGUCAUUUCUCCUCCUCUUGGUCCUUCUGGCCAGCUUCCCUUGCUCCUCUAAAACUUUCCAAGGCAGAGUUCUACCUGUUCUCACCGCAGAACUCCUCAAGGCCAGGGAGACCCUGAAAAGAGAGGAAGCCAAAGAUGCUGGAGAUUUGUGUCUAUUGCGUUUGGCUCCUCUGUGUCCGGGCUCAGCAGGGCAUAAAUAGAUAAUCAAAGAUUCUUUUCUUUACUCAGACUUCUAUAGUCAGAGGCCGAGUCUUCUCUUGACUUUAUUUUUUCACUUGAUCUUAGCCAAAAGACCGAGAAGCCAUUUGACUUUGCUUCUUUAAACUUUCUAGAUUGCACUGAGAAUUCCUCCAGUGUUAUUUGGAAAUGUUUAAAGCUUUUAAGUCAACAGCCCCAGCAGUUAAUCAGAAAGUUAUGUGUGCAUUAAUAUAUAUGCUGAGAUACUUAAAAAUACAACCUUUAUGAUCUUUUACAGCGUAUGUAUGUGUAUGUGCGUCCACAUGUGCCAAGAGAAAUACAUAAUUGCAUGCAUAACCGAUCUAAGGAGCUAGGCUAGGGGAUUGGCCAGCUCACUGGCAUAGGCCUGAGUUUAAUUCCAGGAGUAACUUACAUGAUGAAUAUCUCUCUCUCCCUCCCCUAGCCCUGUGUGUGUGUGUGUGUGUGUGUGUGUGUGUGUGUGUGUGUGUGUGUGUGUGUGUGUGUUUGAGUAUAAGCGGGUAGGUUCUGUGAUCCACUAAACAUGGUCCCUGCCCCUCUCCCCCUCCAGUCUCAUGGAUGUGGCUUCCCCAAGCCCAUCUAGAUCACAUGAAGUUUUCAACCCCGUUAACAGAAGAAAUUACAACGAUCCAAAGUUUUCACUGGAAGUUAAGUAAGUCUGGAUUCUUGGUACAUAGCAUGUUGAUCUCAUGCAUAGCAUCAGACAGUUUAUAGAACUGUAUUCUGUGCUUGAAAUCUGCAAAUCUGGAGUGUAUACCCAUAUACACAUGCAGUAGUAACUGGGCGGUAGGAUGGAUAUGUAAAUUAAUUUGAUUGUCCCAAUCAUUUCACAAUGUAUAUGUAAAUCAAAUUAUUGUGCUGUGCAUCUUGAAUAUACAUGUUUUAUUUGUCAAUUGUACUUCGCUGAAUCUGGAAAAAGUGAUAAUAAUUGUGGACAAUUUUGCAAUCAAUGUCUACUAGUGUGAAUGACAUUAGGAUUUAUUUUUUUUAAGAUGGGGAUAGCAUUGUGCUCAGGUAGGAUUUACAGGUAGCAUUCUCUGAGACCCUCAUGGAUUGCAACUGUUCACCUGUAAAGAAUCUAGAACUAGGUGGUGGGCUAGCUAUGGGCUGUAAGCUGUGAACUGUCCCCUCCUGGGAAACAGGAAAGUCAGAUGCGCCUGGUGCCUACAGCCAAACCCUGCAAUCCUACAUCACCUUGGGUUCUGCCACUUUAUCUCCAUGAGUUUUUGUUCAUACUCUUUCCUGGGAUCCCCACCUUCUCAGGAAGGCUUUCGUGAUCCUACCUGUCCUUCAUGCUGUUUCAUGUGGCCUCAAGUUCUCAUGUUGAAAACCGACUCUCAGUGCUGCAGGGCCGAGAGAGACCUUGAAGAGACAAUCGUGCUGCUCCUUCUGAGGCCCUGAGUUUGAUUCCCAACAUCUGGCAGCUCACAACCACCUGUGAGGGCAACAUCAGGGGAUGUGAUACCUUCUCCUGGCCUCCAGAGGUACCCGUCCUCAGCACCUUGUCACCUCUCACAGCAAUUCACACUGAGACUGGACUGUUUAACUUUGCUUUGCCAAAAGGAAUAAUAAAGGUCCUGAAAUGAUUGCUCAGCAACUGGCUGGCCCCAGGACGACGAUGGGUGUGGAGAUGGAAGGCAUCCCCAGUGGACCUCCUCUGCCCAGAUGAGUUGUGCCUAUGCUACCCAGCUGCAGCGCCAUUGCCAAGGGCCUGGAGCCUUCUGGGAGGCCACUGGGACAGGGACCGUUGGACACGAAUAGGGAUCUCCAGAGAAAUGAAACCAAAGAUGCUGGUACCCAAGAGGACUGGUUCAAAACCCACUGAGGAUGUCCAACUAUGCAUCAGAUGAUGUAGCUUUGCAUAGAACCCACACACAUCCUGCUAUAUUCCUGAGUCACCUCUAGCUUGCCCACAAUAUCUAGUACAGGGUAAAGGCUAUGCAGAAAGUUGUUAUGGUGUAAUAUUGAGGGGCUAAUGACAAGAAGAAAAAAAUCUACGUGAUCCUUGAGCACCAUUGUCUCCUGAACAUUUUUCAUGUGUGGUUGGUUGAAUCUGGGUAUGAAGCCUGUGGCACAGACCCGCUCCAAGGCAGACUGGAAGGAUGGGGAUACAGGCAAGUGUUUCAUUUUGAGUUCAAAGAUUGUCUGUGUGGGAGGUCUUCCUUUUUCCAUUACAUCCUUCACCUAGUUGGAUGAGGCUCACCCAUGUUAUUGAGGAUAUUUCAUUUUCCCCAAUGGCUAUGGACUUGCACAUUAAUGUUAUCUAAGAAAUGGCUCAGAGGGGUUAUGAGUGUAACUCAGGUGAUAGAGUCCUUACUUAGCAUGUGCAGAGCUCUGGGUUCAAUGCCCUGGACUGCAUGUAACCCCCUUGUGGUAUAUACCUAUAAUCCUGGCACCGAGGAGGUGGAGAAAGAAAGAUCAGACAUUUAAGGACAUUCUCAGAAACAUAGCAAGUUCAAGAUAGCCCUGUGCUGCAUUAGAUUGUCUCAGAAAUCUAAACAAGCAAGAGAGAGAGGGGGGAGGAGAGAGAGAGAAGGAGGAGAAGGAAGAGGAGGAAGAAGAGGAG
rnacentral:sRNA from 1 species